UACGGAGGGAGCAAGCGUUACUCGGAAUUAUUGGGCGUAAAGAGCUCGUAGGCGGUUUGUCGCGUCUGCUGUGAAAACUCGGGGCUUAACUCCGGGCCUGCAGUGGGUACGGGCAGACUAGAGUGCGGUAGGGGAGACUGGAAUUCCUGGUGUAGCGGUGAAAUGCGCAGAUAUCAGGAGGAACACCGGUGGCGAAGGCGGGUCUCUGGGCCGUAACUGACGCUGAGGAGCGAAAGCGUGGGGAGCGAACAGG
rnacentral:rRNA from 1 species